rnacentral:rRNA from 1 species
UCGGGAAUUUUGGGCAAUGGGCGAAAGCCUGACCCAGCAACGCCGCGUGAAGGAUGAAGUAUUUCGGUAUGUAAACUUCGUAAGAAUAGGAAGAAUAAAUGACGGUACUAUUUGUAAGGUCCGGCUAACUACGUGCCAGCAGCCGCGGUAAUACGUAGGGACCAAGCGUUGUUCGGAUUUACUGGGCGUAAAGGGCGCGUAGGCGGUGUGUCAAGUCAGUUGUGAAAUCUCCGAGCUUAACUCGGAACGGUCAACUGAUACUGUCACACUAGAGUACAGAAGGGGCAAUCGGAAUUCUUGGUGUAGUGGUGAAAUGCGUAGAUAUCAAGAGGAACACCUGAGGCGAAGGCGGGUUGCUGGGCUGAUACUGACGCUGAGGCGCGAAAGCUAGGGUAGCAAACGGGAUUAGAUACCCAAGUAGUCCCUGAGCGGGCUGGCAAGGCGCAU